rnacentral:rRNA from 1 species
GUCAAGUCAGCAUGCCUUUAUAUCCUGGGCUACACACACGCUACAAUGGUCUGUACAAUGGUAGCCAAGCCGCGAGGCGGAGCCAAUCCUGAAAGCAGGCCUCAGUUCAGAUUGCAGUCUGCAACUCGACUGCAUGAAGCCGGAGUCGCUAGUAAUCGCAGAUCAGCAACGCUGCGGUGAAUACGUUCCCGGGCCUU